rnacentral:rRNA from 1 species
UACAGAGGGGGCAAGCGUUGUUCGGAAUUACUGGGCGUAAAGGGCGCGUAGGCGGCCUGCUAAGUCGAACGUGAAAUCCCCGGGCUCAACCCGGGAACUGCGUCCGAUACUGGCAGGCUUGAAUCCGGGAGAGGGAUGCGGAAUUCCAGGUGUAGCGGUGAAAUGCGUAGAUAUCUGGGAGGAACACCGAUGGCGAAGGCAGAUCUCUGGGCCGUAACUGACGCUGAGGAGCGAAAGCAUGGGGAGCGAACAGG